ensembl:lncRNA
GAAAUAACACAUGUUAAAUUAAGACAUUCUCUCAACCAACUCUAUGAGGUAGUCACUCUUGGCAUUCUCUCAGCCAGCUCCAUGAGGUAGUCACCCUUGGCAUUCUCUCAGCCAGCUCUAUGAGGUAGUCACUCUUGGCAUUCUCUCAGCCAACUUCAUGAGGUAGUCACUCUUGGCAUUCUCUCAGCCAGCUCUAUGAGGUAGUCACUCUUGGCAUUCUCUCAGCCAGCUUCAUGAGGUAGUCACUCUUGGCAUUCUCUCAGCCAGCUCUAUGAGGUAGUCUCUCUUGGCAAGACUUUGGCAAAAGAAAAGUAGAGCAAAAGUUGUAAAUUAUCACUGGUUUCUUGUCGGAGAGCGAUUAGUUCAUGAUGAUGUGUUAAUAGUGAUGAGUUAAUGAUGAUGUAUUGAUGAUAAUGUGUUAAUAGUGAUGUGUAGUUAAUAGUGAUGAGUUAAUGAUGAUGU